UUUUAAUUACACUCUAAUCGCCUGGGAACUACGAGCAAAGCUUAAAACCCAAAGGACUUGACGGUACCCCACAUCCACCUAGAGGAGCCUGUCCUAUAAUCGAUAAUCCACGUUCAACCUCACCAUUUUUAGCCUAUCAGCCUGUAUACCUCCGUCCUCAGCUUACCUCGUGAGUGAAAUCUAGUAGGCUUAACGCCCUUACGCCAACACGUCAGGUCAAGGUGCAGCAAAUGAAAUGGGAAGAGAUGGGCUACACUCUCUAGUUUAGAAAACACGAAAGACUAUCUAUGAAACCUAGUCAGAAGGCGGAUUUAGAAGUAAAAAGAAAACAGCAUGUUCUUUUUAACCAGGCACUGGGGUGUGUACACACCGCCCG
rnacentral:rRNA from 1 species